rnacentral:rRNA from 1 species
AUUGAACGCUGGCGGCAGGCUUAACACAUUCAAGUCGAUCGAGCGGCGGACGGGUGAGUAAUGUCUGGGAAACUGCCUGAUGGAGGGGGAUAACUACUGUAAACUGUAGCUAAUACCGCAUACCAUCAGAUGUGCCCAGAUGGGAUUAGCUAGUGGGUGGGGUAAUGGCUCACCUAGGCGACGAUCCCUAGCUGGUCUGAGAGGAUGACCAGACACACUGGAACGGAGACACGGUCCAGACUAGUACGGGAGGCAGCAGUGGGGAAUAUUGCACAAUGGGCGAAAGCCUGAUGCAGCCAUGCCGCGUGUGUGAAGAAGGCCUUCGGGUUGUAAAGCACUGUCAGCGAGGAGGCGUUACUCGCAGAAGAAGCACCGGCUAACUACGUGCCAGCAGCCGCGGUAAUAC